UUUCCGUAGGUGAACCUGCGGAAGGAUCAUUACCUUAUCUGGGAAGCGUACGCAGGCUCUCUGUGUACUCUUCCCCAGGUCUUACCCUUGUCUUUUGCGCACCCAGUGUUUCCUCGGCGUGGCUUGCCCGCCAAUGGGGACCUCGAAAACCUUUUGUAAUAAGCAGUAACAGUCUAUAAUACAAUCGUAUCAAAACUUUCAACAAUGGAUCUCUUGGUUCUGGCAUCGAUGAAGAACGCAGC
rnacentral:misc_RNA from 1 species